UACGUAGGGGGCUAGCGUUGUCCGGAAUCAUUGGGCGUAAAGCGCGUGUAGGCGGCCCGGUAAGUCCGCUGUGAAAGUCGGGGGCUCAACCCUCGGAUGCCGGUGGAUACUGUCGGGCUCGAGUACGGAAGAGGCGAGUGGAAUUCCUGGUGUAGCGGUGAAAUGCGCAGAUAUCAGGAGGAACACCAAUUGCGAAGGCAGCUCGCUGGGACGUAACUGACGCUGAGACGCGAAAGCGUGGGGAGCGAACAGG
rnacentral:rRNA from 1 species